GUUGGAAACUAAUAAGGAAGAUGCAGAGUUGUUGGAACUAAAUCAGGUCAUCUGUUGUCUGUAGAAAACCCUGAUUACAGAUCAUGCAAAAGCAAAUUAAAAAAAAAACACUAAUUACGGUUCAAGAAAACCCUCAAGAAACCCAGUUUGGAAUAAACUAAAAAUCCUGAUAACGGAUCAUGCAAAAGCAAAUUUUAAAAAAAAUACGAAUUAUGGUUCAAGAAAACCCUCAAGAAACCCAGUUUGGAAUAAACUAAAAACCUUGAUAACGGAUCAUGGAAAAGCAAAUUUAAAAAAAAAUACGAAUUAUGGUUCAAGAAAACCCUCAAGAAACCCAAUUUGGAAUAAACUAAAAACCCUGAUUACGGAUCAUGCAAAAGCAAAUUACAAAAAAAAAACACUAAUUACGGUUCAAGAAACCCCAUUUGGAAUAAUGGUGUAGGACUAAUCCCGGAAGUGGUGACUGUCACGCUGCUACUUCAAUGUUGACUGUUGUAAUGGUAGAAGGUGACAACAGAGGAAGAGGAGGAAGAGUAGGAAGAGAAGAAGGGAGGGAAAACGGCAGAGAGGAGAGAGAGAAGAGGAGAGGAAGAAAAACGAGAAGGAAGAAGAGAGAAGAAGGAAACGUGGGGAAAGAAAUUCUUAAUUCUUCAUUGAAAACCUUACCAUGAAAAUAGUUCCCUAUAUAUAGGGCCCAAAUACACAAUUUGCAUAAACCCCCUUACACAGAAAUAAAUCCUAAUAAGCCCACAAAUAAUACAAAUAAACCACAAAUAAGCCCUAAAAUGCAAAUAAGCCCAGAAAUAAAAUAAACCACAAAUAAGCCCUAAAAUGCAAAUAAACCCAGAAAUAAAAUAAUAAAAUAAACAUGCAAAUAAAAUGGUGGCCUAGCUGAUGUCCCCAUCAACUCCUCCCGGUGGAA
rnacentral:lncRNA from 1 species